AAAAAGGUAAGCUAAAAAAGCUUUUAGACUCAUAAUCUAAAUAUAGAAUAAAUCUCCUUUUUA
rnacentral:tRNA from 1 species